ensembl:lncRNA
UAAUUUAAAAUUCAUUAUAAUAACCAUAUCUCAAGUGUAUUAACCCAUAGACUUUUCAUUACACCACAGUAUUUGGGGUGUCACAUGCUUCCCAAGGUGUUUAUCUAUGCUUUCCAGUAGCUUCCAGAAAUCUGGAAUCUUACAGCAGUGCUACAAAACCCUUCCAGCUAUCCAGCUGGUAGCCCUGAAGUACCAAAGCCAAGCCUUCCCAAUUGAUUGACUGGCCACAUAUCCACAACAUCAUCAGAUUUGGCCUUCUUGCAGCCUGAAUGUGCCCACAGUGACCUGUAAGAUGGGGGCAGAAGGGUGAGGCAGCCCCCUGUACACCUUGCCUCCAAAGCUGUAAUGGGACCAGGCUUUGUCAGUUAUCCCAGAGAAAUGAUAGGGAGAGCCAUGGAAAGAAAGUAGUCCUGCACUGUGCUGCAUGUAGCAAUAUAAUGAUAACUUCAAAAGCUCCAGUACACAAGCACAAAUAGAUGCUGGAUGAGCAGCCACACACACAUCCCCACUGGGAAGGCAGGGAGGAAUCCAGGACAGGGCUGUGAGUGUCUGACAGCGCUGAAUAAAAGAGAUGCUGCAGGUGUAAUGAUUGCUCAGGAGAUUGCAUUUGCUUGUGGAUGAGGAUGGACGAUCUGACUGGAUUUUGAAUAAGUUCUGCAGCAAACCGAUCGAAUGCCCUUUAAUCAGAUGAAUUUAGCUUCUGUCUUUCUUUAAGAUGGUUCCAGACACAAUCAACCUCCUGUUUGCAGCAUUAAUGGGCAUCAUCUAAACAUAGGCAUGCACCAUUUCCCAAAAGUAGGAGGUAUGGGAUAAAACAGUGGUGUUUGAGAGAGGAAAGAAAGCAGUGUGUUCUGAGAAAACAAUGAAACUGCAGACAGAAAGUAAAGACCACUAAGAAAAGCCUGAAAAAAGGGGUUUGGUCAGCAAAGAAAUUGCCUCCUAGUUUUUGACAUACCACAGCAGCACUUUACAGUCACACAGGGUGUCCCUAGAGAACUUCCUAGAUCUAUGUUAAUAUGUCUCCUUAAGGGGAAACAAAAUACGGGAGCUUGAACAUCAGCCAACAACUUCAAUCAAAAAGAUGCAAAUCAUUAUCGGUGGAAAAGUCUGGAGCGGAGAUCCUGUAAUCUAUAUUUUCUCACUCUGGGUGCAUCUCCCAUUAGGUUCACCUCUUCUCAGGACUUUGCUAGCCCCAAGUGAGUGGCCUUAGGGAAUUUCCAUCCUUUCUCUCUCACCCAAAGCAGUGUGUGUCUGCCCUACAGGUCAAUGACAGCUAGGCAGCAGACACAGAGCUGUCCCUGUCUUUGGAUGAGCAGAGGAAAGAGAGAAAAAGGGAUGGCAGUAAUAUUUGAGGAGGAUGGGAAGGGACUCACACAGACCCUUGCCAUUUCUCUGUACACCGACCUUCCCAUCCCCUACCUCCUGCUCCACUGCUGCCAGAGGGAUGCUUUCCCUGUUGACUUCAGAAGCAGCAGGAGUCAGCCACUAAUUAGGAUCCAGUAUGACAAAGCACAGAGUAGCCUGACACUGCUAGACCACAGUUGCCUGGAGGCAGAGGAGACAGUGCCUGCCGGAGGAUCACUUUCAUUAAGAUGAAGAACAUCAAACAGCUUUCCCCAACUGACAUCCGUCUGUCAAAGAAGCCUGCAAAGAAAGGCAGAGCUGACAGGGCCCCUAAGGAGAAUCUCAUUAGGAUGGUUUUAGAGGGGCUUCUUGAUGGGAGAGCUGUGGGGACUAUCUUCCUCCUUCCAUCAGCAGUGGCUUGUGCCUGUCAGUUUGUUGUCUCAGUUCUCGGAGGCUGAUGGGGAUGGACAGGUAAUACCGAUGGAGGUCACGGGCAUGGGAAUGUGACCAAGGAGAAGGCAGGGGAUGGAAGGAGAAGUAGUGGAGCAGGAGAACACAGAGCAAGUGCACAGAGGGAACACCGGAAGCACACUUUUGCGUUUUGGUUCUAGGAAGAAGAAGCUGCUGUGAAAGGCAGACUAACCCAGCAAGCACCUUGGACAGUGCUGGGCUGCCCAAUGGGGGGCCCGGUGGGAGUGGGAAUAGCAUCUCACCUCCCUGUGCACACUAUGCAGAACUGAAUACAGACAGCCUGCUUUUUUUCAUAGGAUUUGAGCACAGCUUUUACUCAGAAACAUCUGCACACCUCUAGAGCCUCUUCAAGUUCUCAGUCCAGUUGAAUUCACCCACAACCCAGCUUGAGAUGUUAAGGAUAUUUAUCCAUUCUCAUGGAAGCAGUGAUGAAGACUCCUUCACUCCACAGACAACAGCAACAUGAAUGUUUGGAUGAAGAGGUAUAACCCCAGAGACAUGGUUCUCUGUGACUGAGCUACAGCCACAUGGCUCUAACAUAGACAAGUGAUUUCUAGAAGGCUUUAGACAGGCAUUUAUCUGGGACUGUAACUCCCUCCUGAGGCACUCCUGCUGGUAAGUGUGUUCAGACACUUGCCCUGCAGUACAAUGAGAAGUCUGUGCUCAAAUUCCCCAGCCAGCUCUGAUUCAGUAAUCACAACAAGUGUUUACCAGUGCCGGCAGGGACAUCCUACUUACUAGGAAUGGUCAGCUGGGCAUUACACUGUGCUCAAGUGGUUCAGCACUCGUUAGAGUCUGGAACUGACUUUGCAAUUUUCUACUACACAAAUUGGUGACAUCAUUCAGUCUCUUUAAAGGCUCAUGUGGGUAAUAUCAUUGCCUUUUGUUAAAAGUUGCUACUCACAGUCUUCUGAUGUAGAAGGAAAGCACCAUGUUUUCAUUUCCUUAGAAAGCUGAUACCAAUGGUCUGUCUUCUCAGCCACCCUUAGGGCUGCCAUACAUGACCUCGUUGUUUUGUCUAAAACAAGGAUGGAGUCCUAAAGCCCACGGGCUGUAAAUAGUCUGUAAGAUCUCAUGAGCCUGGGACAGACACUUGGCAUUUUCAAAAGACCUGUACUUGGGCAGCACAAGUGAUGCCUCUGGAGCAGGCCAGUGCCUAUGCAUAUGUCAUCACAGUCUCAAUCAAAGCUCACAAAACAUAUUCACAACUAGCACUGAAAGGCAUUUUGUGCUAUUGCUGUGCAGUGCUAAGGUAUGUGGGAAUUUGCAGCCAGCUGAAAGGCGCUGGGAUAACUGGAAAAGAACACUCUCAGCCAGUAAAGAACAUGCUCAACAGCCCUGCAUCAGGACUCUGCAGUGAUGACAUCACCAGGACUUUGAAGAGCUCUGCCAGAUGAUUUCUCAGGGUACCUCUGAAAAUCUGCAGUGCUGAUGCUGUCUGGGUUUUAAGGGUUAGCAAAAAUUAUGUCAGUGUCUUGGUUUGGAAAGAUAGCUGUUUGCUAAGGAAGGCAGGAGCCUCUCUUGGAGUGUAAAAUGUAAAUCCCCUCCCCAUGAAUUAUCAUAAUUUUGAAAUUAAGGGUUUUAUUUUAAAUUAUUUUAUUUUAAAUUGAGGUUUUUAUUAGGGAAGAAAAUAAAAAUAAAAUGAAAAAUGCAGUAAACACUGACAGAGUCAGAAUACAACCUGACACCCUGUGGGUCAGGGUCUUGGUAGCAGUCUGAUAGAAUGGUGGCUGCAGUCCUCCUGCAGUGACUGGUGUGAUUCUGUUGAAGUGAUCCUGUAGAAGGGUGCAGUUUUCUUCUGGGGAUAUAGAUGGGCCUGGUCUUCCUCUGGGAAUCCAGUGGGAAAAGGCUGCCUGUGGUGUUCCAGAUCUCAGAUUAUAUCCAGGUAGGAAUGCUUGGCUCCUCCCUCUGGGCAGAGCAUCUCACAGUAGGGUGAUAUAAUUCUAUCAGUCAUGCAGUGAGACUCAAUGGCCCAUUAACAGCAGAUGUCUCCCCAGAGGGAGGAUUGGUUGUGGAAGAGAUAAAGUAAACUGCCUAAUUAGCAGAAGAUAAUUGGCCCACCUCUAACAGAUGGGAAAUAGAAUACACACUCCAAAACCACAUCUUACAACCCAGGACAGUCAGUCAAGGGGUGAAUCAGAGGUCUGAACACUGGUGUGAGGUGCAAGGUCACCCACCUGUCUUCAGCUUCUCCUCCAGAUUAUCUCCCACAGGUCCUGUUUAGUAUUUACCAGCACUCAGCUAAUGUUUUGAAUAACUCAGGUCACUAAAAAUGGCUCUUGAAACCAGAAUCUCACCCUCUAGAUUCCUGAGGACCUGCAGCAAUGGCACCAUUUCCCAUCUCCAGAGUUUUGCUGGGGUACCUUUCUUCUAGCUUUUAGUCUCUCUGAGGACAGCCACUCAAAUAAUCAAGGCUGUUCCCUGCACCUGUCUCAUGCUGCUGUCUCUCCAGCUGACAGAGAGCUGAGCUGCAUUUCAAACUGCCUGAGCACUCCAGAAACCCUUGUUUUGCCAACACACUUACGUUUCCCUCAGUCUUGCAGGGCUUGACAAGGCCUGAGCCCUGACCAAAACUAAGGGGUCUUUGAGCACUGCAUGGCAAGCAGAAGCAGCAGGAGCAGGACAGCUCAUGUGUUCAAGCCUAACAGGUGCUGGGAAGGAGCACUACGUUCCCAUCUUUCCAAGUCCAGGAGUGGGUCUUGCCAGCUGCAGGACCUGGCUAUGCUGUUCUGGCCUUUUGGCUCUGUGGAGGAGCCUUCUGCAAGCAAGAGGAAAGCUGUCUGCCUCCUGCUCUGCUUUAAAAUGGCACAAACACAAAGGCAGCAGGACAGGCUGUGGGAGCAGGAUGGCAGCUACCAUCUGCCAGGGCAUUUUUACUACUCCUUCUUGGCUUCCCAGUGUACAUGAAGGGAAAAGGUUUAUUCAACUAGUCUCCCUCACUUCCAUCCUUAACCCUGCAGAGCAGACAGGUGGUAUUUCAGGUUUGGUGGGGGUGAAGGGUAAGCACCGAAACAGGAAAGGCAUUGUACAGACAGGAGGUUGUGGUGACACAACAGUGAUGAUGUGGCAUCACGGACUUGUGCCAAAGGGAUCAAUGCAUAUCUCUUACAUGUCCCCAUCCUUACACAGAAUGUGUCACCCCACCACAACUCCAAGCCCCUUAAUGGCUUCCCAGGCAGGGAGGAGGUUGGAGAGGCUCCAUUUUGGCUCACCCCUCUUUGUGCCAGGCUCUCACUCCCCCACUCACACACACACACACACACACACGGGAGCUGUCUGGGGCUCUCUCACACAGGCUGUCUCACCCACUCACAAGCUCUAACAUGAACACAAAGGCUACAGGACCCGUGUCUCUCAAGUGUUGCAUAGGAUUCCUUUCCCUCAGUGUCUGUUUCACACACUCUCCCUCUCUCCCUCACACUUGUGCUUUCAGACAUCUCUUUUUGUUCUGUCUGUUUCUUUUUGGCAUUGGUGGGAGUUUCAAGGAACAGGGCUCUGUCUUAUUCACUCUGUUUGCAGUAUCUCCGUGCUAGCCUGUACCAUUUGGUUUGCUAUAUUACCAUUUGGUUUGCUUUAUUACUAUUUGCUUUGCUCAGUUCCCUCCCCUCAACGAGGAGCCAAACUCUUAUCUGAAACAUAAGAACAUGCCCCAUUUCCUAGGAUUCCUUGCCUUCACUGGCAAAUCCAUGAGGGUUUUGCUUUAGACCCUGCUCUGUUUGGUUCUAGUACCUGUCAGAAAGCGAUGCUUCCAGCAUGUGACAGGCUCGUGAGUCAACCUGAACACCAUGUGAGCUUAAUGUGAGAACAAGCCAUACUGUAGUAAAGAUCAGCUCUGAAAAAUUAACUGUUGAACUGCAGUUCAACUACCUGGAGGAACAGCUGAUCCUCUUCUCCCUUACUGCACAUGUGGAUUAUCACAGUGGGUACUCAUAUGCAAGGACAUCAUCAAACAAAUCCUUAAUCUUUGGUUUCAUUUUUGCCCCAGCAUAGGGAUGAGCACAGGGAAUGUUGCUUUUACAGCUUGGUCUUUGUGAAAAUAGGAAUUUAUAUUUUAAACUCAAGGCUGCUCUAAGUGUGAUGUCUGAAGAUGGUAGGACUGGCAAGGUUUGUGUGAAGCAUCAGCUCGGAUAUGAGCACAAAUAAAUGGACAGAGUGUCAGGCCCACAGGGGAGGCAAAUGCAGCAAGUCCAAAAAGGAGCUUGUCAGUUUUUACAUUUAAUUUGGCUUGUCAAAAAAAAAAGUCAUUUAUCUCCCUCUAUAAACCUUGCCUGACCAACACUGUUCCAACUUGGCAGGAAUCAGAAAUGCAUAGAUUCCUCCAUGCAGCAUCACCCCUCUGUUCUAACAGGCCAUAAAA